rnacentral:rRNA from 1 species
AUUGAACGCUGGCGGCAGGCCUAACACAUGCAAGUCGAGCGGAUGAAGGGAGCUUGCUCCUGGAUUCAGCGGAGGACGGGUGAGUAAUGCCUAGGAAUCUGCCUGGUAGUGGGGGAUAACGUCCGGAAACGGGCGCUAAUACCGCAUACGUCCUGAGGGAGAAAGUGGGGGAUCUUCGGACCUCACGCUAUCAGAUGAGCCUAGGUCGGAUUAGCUAGUUGGUGGGGUAAAGGCCUACCAAGGCGACGAUCCGUAACUGGUCUGAGAGGAUGAUCAGUCACACUGGAACUGAGACACGGUCCAGACUCCUACGGGAGGCAGCAGUGGGGAAUAUUGGACAAUGGGCGAAAGCCUGAUCCAGCCAUGCCGCGUGUGUGAAGAAGGUCUUCGGAUUGUAAAGCACUUUAAGUUGGGAGGAAGGGCAGUAAGUUAAUACCUUGCUGUUUUGACGGUACCAACAGAAUAAGCACCGGCUAACUUCGUG